rnacentral:rRNA from 1 species
UACGAGUGGUCCAAGCGUUAUCCGGAAUUAUUGGGCGUAAAGGAUGUGUAGGUGGUUAUGUUAGUCUGGUGUCUAACCUCUGAGCUCAACUUGGAGACAGCAUUGGAAACGGCAUGGCUAGAGUAUGUGAGGGGUAAGCGGAACUAAUGGUGUAGGGGUGAAAUCCGUUGAUAUUAUUGGGAACACCAAAAGCGAAGGCAGCUUACUGGCACAUUACUGACACUGAAACAUGAAAGCGUGGGUAGCGAAUGGG